GACAGAGGGUGCAAACGUUGCUCGGAAUUACUGGGCGUAAAGCGCGUGUAGGCGGUCACGCAAGUCAGGUGUGAAAGCCCAGAGCUCAACCCUGGAAGUGCACAUGAUACUACGUGGCUGGAGUACUGAAGAGGAGAGCGGAAUUCCCGGUGUAGAGGUGAAAUUCGUAGAUAUCGGGAGGAACACCAGUGGCGAAGGCGGCUCUCUGGGCAGAUACUGACGCUGAGACGCGAAAGCGUGGGUAGCAAACAGG
rnacentral:rRNA from 1 species